GAGGGUAUGGCUCAGUGGUAGAGCACACGCUUAGCGUGCACCAAGGUCCUGGGUUCAAUCCCCAGUACCUGCA
rnacentral:tRNA from 1 species